GUGUAUUAUACUGGUGUAUGUAUUCAGAUGUUCUAUAGUGUCUAGUGUUGAAUAUUAGUGUGUAGUGUAGAUGCUUGUGGCCUGUGAGCAUACAUUAGGCAUAUAUCAUUAUUUAUAGUGUGUAAUGUUUUGUAGUGUAGAUGUGUGUAGCAUGUGUGGUGUGUCUAUACUAUUGUGUAGUUUGUGUAGCAUCGUAUAGUGAAGGUGCGUGUGUGUAUAGCCUGAAGGUGUGUGUAGUGUAGCGUAGUUGUGUAUAGCAUUGUGUAGGGAAGGCAUGUGUCUCGAGUUGUGUAGUGUGGGUGUGUUAAGCGUUGUGUAACAUAGGUGUGGAAAGCGUUGUGUAACCUAGGUGUGUGUGGUGUGGGUGUGUUAAGCGUUGUGUAACCUAGGUGUGUGUGGUGUGGGUGUAGUAAGCGUUGUGUAACCUAGGUGUGUGUGGUAAGCGUUGUGUAACCUAGGUGUGUGUGGUGUGGGUGUGGUAAGCGUUGUGUAACCUAGGUGUGUGUGGUGUGGGUGUGGUAAGCGUUGUGUAACCUAGGUGUGUGUGGUGUGUGGGUGUGUUAAGCGUUGUGUAACCUAGGUGUGGGUGUGUUAAGCGUAGUGUAACCUAGGUGUGGUAAGCGUUGUGUAACCUAGGUGUGUGUGGUGUGGGUGUAGUAAGCGUUGUGUAAC
rnacentral:lncRNA from 1 species